rnacentral:rRNA from 1 species
AUGGGAACGCGAAGAACCUUACCUAGACUUGACAUCUCCUGAAUAGUGUAGAGAUACAUGAAGCCCUUCGGGGCAGGAAGACAGGUGGUGCAUGGUUGUCGUCAGCUCGUGUCGUGAGAUGUUGGGUUAAGUCCCGCAACGAGUGCAACCCUUAUUACUAGUUGCUACCAUUAAGUUGAGCACUCUAGUGAGACUGCCCGGGGUUAACCGGGAGGAAGGCGGGGAUGACGUCAAAUCAUCAUGCCCCUUAUGUCUAGGGCAACACACGUGCUACAAUGGUGAGUACAGAUAGAUGCGAUACCGCAAGGUGGAGCCAAACUCUAAAACUCAUCCCAGUUCGGAUUGUAGGCUGCAACUCGCCUACAUGAAGUUGGAGUUGCUAGUAAUCGCGAAUCAGAAUGUCGCGGUGAAUACGUUCCCGGGUCUUGUACACACCG